UUAAAUAUAAAAGGUAUAAAUUUGAAGAAUGUAAUAUUAUACAUUUAUUUUUUGAUUUUAAUAUGUUUUUACAAAGGUAAAAUGCAGAGUUAUUUGUGUACAUCAUUGACAAAAUUUUUGUAUGCAUUUUUUAAAUAGAUUUGGAAAUUUUUUUCAAAAUUAAGGAGAUCCUAAAGUUAUCUGUUUUAUCAGUAUUUUUUAACUCUGAGUUAUGAAUUAUUCUUACUUACCAAUUUCAAUGAAACUAUCCAAAGGUUUUUUGGGUUGCUGAUUACGAAUUUAAUGUCAUUUUUAACAUUUAAAAUUACAGAUUUGAUAUGGCGGACGUACAACUAAAAAUUAAACCAAAUUCUGUGAAAUUUAUGGCUUUUCAUUUACAUCAAAACUCAGAUAAUUCUCACUUGUGACGUCAUAACUUAGUUAAAUGCACGUUCCUUUUGCAUUCUCACAAGUGAGAUUCAACUGAGUUUUUUCCUACAAUCUGAGCAAUUUCAAGACCGUGUGCUUUACUGAGUCUUGCAUACUCACUUUAGAAGUGAAGUUAUAUGUUGAGAUAAUUUUAUCAUUAAAAUAAGUGUGAUAAGCACUUGCAUGUUUCUUUAAAUCACUGAGUAAUGACGUCGCUAUUUGAGUAUAAAAUACAUUACUGAGUGACUCAGUCUCACUUUCAGAUAAAUGGAAAGCAACAUUAUUUAGGAGUUUUUCUGGAUGCUGAUUACGAAUUUGUCAGAUUUUUUAAAUUCAAAAUUGGCGGACCCAAUUAUGACGAAACUCAUAGAUAUUAAGUUUCAUGGCAAUUAAUUAAAUUUUUUAUUUAAUGCCCGCCAUAUUGACUUCAUUUUGAAUUUUAAAAUUUUAUAUAUAUGUUAUGAUAACAAAUUCGUAAUUAGCACCUCAAAAAAAUUCUAGGUACUAAGCUUUAUGAAAAUGAUUGAAUUUUUAAUAUUGUGUCUGUCAUAUUGCAUCCGCCAUUUUCGAAAAUCUGACAACGGAUUUGUAAUCAGUGACCUCAAAAACUCCAGAUGUAGAGUUUUGUAGAAAUUGGUGCUUUUCUCAGAGAAAAUAAAUUUUAAAAACAAAUUUUUGGUAUUUAUUUAUAGCAAGGUCCUUUGUGGUCAUAUAUAUUUUUUAAACAUACUUUAAGGUAUCCUGAACAAUCAGAAAGCAAAAAAACUGACUUUAAAAGGUUAAGAGAUUGUUAAAAUAAAUAAAAAA